UACGGCGUACGUGUGAAGGGAGUGGGAGCGGCACGUGUUUGUACGAACACGUUUUUGCAAACAGAGGAUCCCAGCUCCAAGAAGAUAGUCCCAUGGAGUUUUCGUAGAAACAGAGACACGCCAAUCUUUGUCAUUUUUUUUUUAAAGAAAAGAAAUUCCCUAUUUUCUUGUUCUUCCAUCUUCAAUCUUCAAGGAAUCGUUGAGUUUUAGCAAAUGGCAAUUGCCAUGCGUGGUAUGCCAAUUGUAUUUCUGCUGUCCCAUUCUAAUAUAUUAAAGUGGCAACUUGGCACUAUCUUCUUUGGCUGCUGUAACUGUGUAAAAACCGAAAGGGGGAAAAUCUAAGGUCACAUGCUCAAAUCUUACUGGUCAACAGCUGCUCUGAGAGGUGUCAAAAAAAAUAUGGAUCACGAGGGUAGUUGUAUGCUGACAAACAGUAGUCUUCCCCAUGCUUUGGCUUCACAGGCCCCAUGAGACUGAGGAUUAGCUGUUUCUUCGAAACUAUUGGGAAUUGAAUUGCAAGUUUCUAUUUUUGGCCGAGUGGAGGACUCAACUCUUGGGAUAUCUUUUUAUGCUAAUGAUAAAAUAUUAUGAAUAGUAAUAAGAAUAGUCGAAUAAAAGUGGAACCAAAAGUGGCCCAUCAAGGCGUUGGAAGAGGAGGCUACUAGUGUAACGUCGUCCUCUAUGGGUGGAGUUAGACUCAGUGGAUAUCAUUCGUGUUCUUACUAAGUCAUUCGCGCACUUGAUUGAAACUAAAAACAUGGUUAAAAGACUUGCUUGAAUUCUUUUAGACGAUGCUAUUUUUGUUCAUUGUAAGCAUAAAUGUGAUUUUGGCAUGUGGUGUUGCAACCUUGAUUCUAGCCCCCUCCUUUUGAGGACCUUUCUCAUAAGGCUUCUUGUUGGGUUUUCAAUUACCCCCUCCUUUAUGCUCUCGAUGAGGUCUAUGGUUGUAAUUGUUUGUCUAUUAUUUUCCGUAAUUAUUUUGAUUGGACUUAAAUAUUUUUGUUAUUGUUAGUAAAGAUACAUUACUAAUAAAGUUAUACACUUUAUUAA